GGAAUUUUCCGCAAUGGGCGAAAGCCUGACGGAGCAAUACCGCGUGAGGGAAGACGGCCCAUGGGUUGUAAACCUCUUUUUUCAGGGAGGAAUAAAUGACGUGUACCUGAAGAAUAAGCAUCGGCUAACUCCGUGCCAGCAGCCGCGGUAAGACGGAGGAUGCAAGUGUUAUCCGGAAUCACUGGGCGUAAAGCGUCUGUAGGUGGUUUAAUAAGUCAACUGUUAAAUCUUGAGGCUCAACUUCAAAAUCGCAGUCGAAACUAUUAGACUAGAGUAUAGUAGGGGUAAAGGGAAUUUCCAGUGGAGCGGUGAAAUGCGUAGAUAUUGGAAAGAACACCGAUGGCGAGGGCACUUUACUGGGCUAUUACUAACACUCAGAGACGAAAGCUAGGGUAGCAAAUGGGAUUAGAUACCCCUGUAGUC
rnacentral:rRNA from 1 species